UGGGGAAUAUUGCACAAUGGGCGCAAGCCUGAUGCAGCCAUGCCGCGUGUAUGAAGAAGGCCUUCGGGUUGUAAAGUACUUUCAGUCGGGAGGAAGGUGGUAAGGUUAAUAACCUUGGCAAUUGACGUUACCGACAGAAGAAGCACCGGCUAACUCCGUGCCAGCAGCCGCGGUAAUACGGAGGGUGCAAGCGUUAAUCGGAAUUACUGGGCGUAAAGCGCACGCAGGCGGUUGAUUGAGUCAGAUGUGAAAUCCCCGGGCUUAACCCGGGAAUUGCAUCUGAUACUGGUCAGCUAGAGUCUUGUAGAGGGGGGUAGAAGUCCAUGUGUAGCGGUGAAAUGCGUAGAGAUGGGGAGGAAUACCGGUGGCGAAGGCGGCCCCCUGGACAAAGACUGACGCUCAGGUGCGAAAGCGUGGGGAGCAAACAGG
rnacentral:rRNA from 1 species